AAGCUGCUAGAGGGAGCGGCGGGCAGCGGACGGCGGGAAAAGGAGACUUACCUCGGUAUUCCUCCAUACGCCCCCCUUGAUCAUAAUUCGAGGCAUCUUGGCGGCAGGGUGUCUCGGCAAGCAGCCGAGAGGAGCUUCAGAGAAGUAGUAACAGCGAUUGGGCCACCGGACUCAAAGCCGCCACUUCCUCCAAGCGCGACCUUCUGCUUUGAAGAUCUGCGCAAGCGCAAGGUCUUCGAGAUUUUAACACUGGAGCAUAGAGGAGGUCAGUCUCUACUGACUGCUGAACAUCCAACACGUGACACCCAGGAGUUGUCUACCACCAUGUUUUGGACUAAGGGAAAAAAGCAGAAUUCAGAAAAAUGCAACAUCAUGGAAGUUCCAGGAUGUCUGAAACCAGAGCACUGUAGCCACAAACAUCAGAACACAAACACACUGUUCUCCAGGAUGGCCUGCUUGGCCAGCCUCCCCCACCAUACUACUGCAGCCUCACCAGCCAGGUGGAUUGUUGCAUUUGCAGAUUUAACAUUCUUAAAUUUCCAAGCACAAUUACUACACUAUUUAAAGAUAUGAACAACUUUGAUGACAGUAAUGGAGCAGUACAAAACUGAUUCAUCAAAUAACUUGGGAAAAAACCUACAAUUUUUAUUAAUAGAUGAUAGAUAAUAACAUUUCUAUUCAUAGAUAAUAAUUCCAGCCAUAAUGAAGUAGCGGGGAUCAGAUUUACUCUCCUGACUUAAACAAGUAGAAAACUGGACAAAAUGUAUGAAAUAACAAUUUUCAGAAUGAGACAACAGGCAGCACAGGAUUGUGAUCCUAAAGAAAAGGAAAGCAAAUGAAGAGAUUCCUGUAAUCACCCAGCUUUGCCUGGAGGCACAUUCAAGACCACAGCGUAGGAUGAGCAACCCCACACAGAGCAUGGCAUUCUCUAUGAGUUUGAGGAGCCGAAGAUCCAAGUUCAGAGAGUCUUGGAGGACUGGAAGCUGCAGGGCAGAGUUCUGGGGAAGAAGGAACUUUACAAAAAAAUGAAAGUAAGAAAUUUACACAGCACUUCCUUUGAGUCUUUGCUGAAUAUUAAGACACACAUGUGUAGGGUAGAACUCCAAAAGAUCAGACAAUAGAGUGACUGGGAACUGAAUGGGCUCACAAAGGGCUAAAAAUCAUUUUAGUUCCCACCAACUAAAGUGAAGACUCCUCACUGAUCACUCAAGGUAUUCUGCAGAGACUCUAAAAGGGCCACAUCUUACUUAGUAAUGGAGUUAAACUAUCCCUAAAGACUGCUUUAGACACGCCCUAACAAAGCUUGAAAACAAGCCUCAAACCAAACUGCAAGUGACUUAACUGCCUGCUACAGCAAAGACCAGCACUCUUUAAAAGAAGACCACAAGGCCUGUUGCGGUGGCUCACGCCUGUAAUCCCAGCACUUUGGGAGCCCAAGGCAGGUGGAUCACGAAGUCAAGAGAUUGAAACCAGCCUGGUCAAC
rnacentral:lncRNA from 1 species